AGAAUACAACACAUGAUACAAUCAUUACAAUGUACAGGGUAUUAUACUGAGAAUUCUACUGAUAAUGCACAGUAAAGGUUGAUACAGUCAUUACAAUGUACAGGGUAUUAUAGUGAGAAUUCUACUGAUAAUGCACAGUAAAGGUUGAUACAAUCAUUACAAUGUACAGGGUAUUAUACUGAGAAUUCUACUGAUAAUGCACAGUAAAGGUUGAUACAGUCAUUACAAUGUACAGGGUAUUAUAGUGAGAAUUCUACUGAUAAUGCACAGUAAAGGUUGAUACAGUCAUUACAAUGUACAGGGUAUUAUACUGAGAAUUCUACUGAUAAUGCACAGUAAAGGUUGAUACAAUCAUUACAAUGUACAGGGUAUUAUAGUGAGAAUUCUACUGAUAAUGCACAGUAAAGGUAGAUACAAUCAUUACAAUGUACAGGGUAUUAUAGUGAGAAUUCUACUGAUAAUGCACAGUAAAGGUUGAUACAAUCAUUACAAUGUACAGGGUAUUAUAGUGAGAAUUCUACUGAUAAUGCACAGUAAAGGUUGAUACAGUCAUUACAAUGUACAGGGUAUUAUACUGAAAAUUCUACUGAUAAUGCACAGUAAAGGUUGAUACAAUCAUUACAAUGUACAGGGUAUUAUACUGAGAAUUCUACUGAUAAUGCACAGUAAAGGUUGAUACAAUCAUUACAAUGUACAGGGUAUUAUAGUGAGAAUUCUACUGAUAAUGCACAGUAAAGGUUGAUACAAUCAUUACAAUGUACAGGGUAUUAUUCUGAGAAUUCUACUGAUAAUGCACAGUAAAGGUUGAUACAAUCAUUACAAUGUACAGGGUAUUAUUCUGAGAAUUCUACUGAUAAUGCACAGUAAAGGUUGAUACAAUCAUUUGUUUCAGAGGAGUUGAGGGAUCCAUUUCUUCAUAACUUCCAUAAUGCAUUUGACCAUCGCCAUCUACAAAUGGUUUGUAAGCAGACAGUAAAUUGUAUUUACAUAUAUUAUACCUAAUUUAUAAAUAUACUAAGAAAUUAUACAUUACUAAGAAAUGAAUAGCUGAAAUAUUUACUUAGUCAGCUGUUUAUAAAAAUCUAAUAACAGUUAUUGACUAUCCUAAUAUUCUGCCAAAAACGUGAUAACUAAGGUCAGUAGGCCUAUUUGAAGAUGAGAAUAAACAUAACUCAUGACUUUAAAACAUUUAGCAGCGCGAGGAUUAUACUGAGCAAAACCCAGUAGCCUAAUUGCAACAUUAUAUACAUGUAUAUUUAAUUUGAGUGCUUCUUUAAAUGCCGCGCUAUAGAACAACUCGCUCAUUAGUGUUGAUGAAAGUGGCACUGCUCUUUAUUCCGUCGCGUGUAAACUGCAACUCUCACUGCUUGAAGACCCCACCGCGCGCAGAAGUUACAAAAAUAACCGACAAUAAUUACAAAACAUUUGCCUGUAUCAAAAAACGUUGCUCCUCUAAAAAAAUGGUUUAUCAACUCGUAUAUUAACAGGUCAAAAUACUGGACGAUAACUUACCCCGAUCAAGACACAGACGAAAAUGAAC